GGAAGAUCAUCGUCCCCGGUGGGGCGGCCGGACUUCAAAUCCGGUUGGGGCCGCCAGCGGUCCCGGGCAGGUUCGACUCCUGUGAUCUUCC
rfam:Serratia marcescens FGI94, complete genome.